rnacentral:rRNA from 1 species
GACAGAGGGUGCAAACGUUUGUUCGGAAUUACUGGGCGUAAAGCGCGUGUAGGCGGCCCUGCAAGUCGGAUGUGAAAUCCCACGGCUCAACCGUGGAAGUGCAUUCGAAACUGCAGGGCUAGAGUCCUGGAGAGGAAGGUGGAAUGCUUGGUGUAGAGGUGAAAUUCGUAGAUAUCAAGCGGAACACCGGUGGCGAAGGCGGCCUUCUGGACAGUGACUGACGCUGAGACGCGAAAGCGUGGGGAGCGAACAGG